AGCAGCCGCGGUAAUUCCAGCUCCAAUAGCGUAUAUUAAAGUUGUUGCAGUUAAAAAGACUCGUAGUUGAACUUCGGGGUUUACUCAUUGGUCAGGCUUAAUUGUCUGUACUGGUGAGAUAAAUCUCUACCUUCUGAGGAACUUUCAUGCCAUUUAUUUGGUGUGAUUGGAAAUCAGGACUGUUACUUUAGAAAAAUUAGAGUGUUUAAAGCAGGCUAACGUCUGAAUACAUUAGCAUGGAAUAAUGAAAUAGGACGGAUUGAUUCUAUUUCGUUGGUUUCUAGGGUCACCGUAAUGAUUAAUAGGGAUAGUUGGGGGCAUUAGUAUUCAAUUGUCAGAGGUGAAAUUCUUGGAUUUAUUGAAGACUAACUACUGCGAAAGCAUUUGCCAAGGAUGUUUUCAUUAAUCAAGAACGAAAGUUAGGGGAUCGAAGACGAUCAGAUACCGUCGUAGUCUUAACCAUAAACUAAUGCCGACUAGGGGAUCGGACGCAGUU
rnacentral:rRNA from 2 species